UACGUAGGGGGCAAGCGUUGUCCGGAUUUAUUGGGCGUAAAGAGCUCGUAGGUGGCUGAGUAAGUCGGAUGUCAAAUACCCAGGCUCAACCUGGGACACCACCCGAUACUGCUCUGGCUAGAGUCCGGUAGGGGAGCAUGGAAUUCCUGGUGUAGCGGUGAAAUGCGCAGAUAUCAGGAGGAACACCAGCGGCGAAGGCGGUGCUCUGGGCCGGAACUGACACUGAGGAGCGAAAGCGUGGGUAGCAAACAGG
rnacentral:rRNA from 1 species